GAUGAACGCUGGCGGCGUGCCUAAUACAUGCAAGUCGAGCGAACAGACGAGGAGCUUGCUCCUCUGACGUUAGCGGCGGACGGGUGAGUAACACGUGGAUAAACUACCUAUAAGACUGGGAUAACUUCGGGAAACCGGAGCUAAUACCGGAUAAUAUAUUGAACCGCAUGGUUCAAUAGUGAAAGACGGUUUUGCUGUCACUUAUAGAUGGAUCCGCGCCGCAUUAGCUAGUUGGUAAGGUAACGGCUUACCAAGGCAACGAUGCGUAGCCGACCUGAGAGGGUGGUCGGCCACACUGGAACUGAGACACGGUCCAGACUCCUACGGGAGGCAGCAGUAGGGAAUCUUCCGCAAUGGGCGAAAGCAUGACGUAGCAACGCCGCGUGAGUGAUGAAGGUCUUCGGAUCGUAAAACUCUGUUAUUAGGGAAGAACAAAUGUGUAAGUAACUAUGCACGUCUUGACGGUACCUAAUCAGAAAGCCACGGCUAACUACGUG
rnacentral:rRNA from 1 species